UUUCAGCGGGGAGGAAGGCGUUAAGGUUAAUAACCUUGGCGAUUGACGUUACCCGCAGAAGAAGCACCGGCUAACUCCGUGCCAGCAGCCGCGGUAAUACGGAGGGUGCAAGCGUUAAUCGGAAUUACUGGGCGUAAAGCGCACGCAGGCGGUCUGUCAAGUCGGAUGUGAAAUCCCCGGGCUUAACCUGGGAACUGCAUUCGA
rnacentral:rRNA from 1 species